ensembl:lncRNA
GUGAUACUUAUGUGGAACAUUGGCCAGAAGAACGCUGAGGCACAUUCACUUAAGUGGCAUUCUUACGUGGACCGGUAUGCCCACGGCAUCAAGUGAGAAGCCGCCACCAGAGUGCUUCCCACCCCACCAGGGACACCUGGUUGCCUGUCCCGGCUAGUCUGUGUCACACACCUGCUAGAUAUCAUGGACAGAAGAGAGGAAGAGGAAACGGCUCAGCAAAUUAGAUGACUCAAAAAGGGACUUGGUUUUUAUGAACUUCAAUAUGAGAACAGAAGGUGCCUUUAUCAUUUGAAGAGUAUAUAAUAUUGCAGAGUGAUCACGGUUCUGGACAACAGCUCUGGGGUUCUAGGACUGUGUCCCAGCCCCAUGACUUAAACAACCACCCAGCCUCGCCAGUGCUGAUACCUCUGAGAAAGUGGAAAUUGGUGAGAUUGUCUCAGUGUCCUGGUGCUGCCAAACUCCUGGGACUAUGUGUUAUCACUGUGUAGCAAGUACACAGGGAAGUCUGGGUUUAAAGUCAUUUUAGUUUUAAAUGUAAACAGCCUUGAUUGAUUUUAUUUGAAUUUUCUAAAAGGUGUAUUUCACCCUCAGACCAUCUGCAUGUACUCGGAACAUAUGAACAUAUGUACAAGACCUAGUGUUAGAUAUGUGAAUGUGAAAGUUUUCAACUUACUAUAAGUUGCUUUUAUCCUUACCUCUUUGAACAGAUCCAUUUCCCCCCAAACUCGCUAGAACAAGGUCCACCACGAUUGGCUGCUGGUUUCAGACCCCAC